UUGAAUUUGGUUUAUAACCAAAUCACUUUUGUAGCUCCUGAUAAUUAUUAUAUGGCUUGAUAAUAUAUAAUCAUAGCCACUCACAAAUUUUCAGAAUUAUUGGAAAUGUAAUUCUUUUGUUGCAGAAUUAAAUCCAACUCAAAUAUUUAUUGGUAUAAUUCAGAGCCCCAAAAUAAAUGCUUGCGUGAUUCCAAAAUAAUGGGUGACAUUUUUAACUCACGCCAAUAUUUUAUUAGAAUAAGAAGGACAUUUUGUUGGAUCUAUUUGAAGCAAUUUUUAUGUGGCUUAUUUCACAAAAUUAUUUGUGAGGCUUGAUCACUAUGCAUGGAUGAAAUGCAAUGACAAACAAGUCUAAAGCUAUUGCUAUGACAACUCACCCCCACUAAACAAGAAUCUCAUUCCGAGAUUCAGGCGUAGGGUAAGAGGACAGCAGGGAACACAACACUAACACAAU
rnacentral:lncRNA from 1 species